GGAAAGGCGUGCGAUACAGGGUGACAGCCCCGUACACAAAAAUGCACAUAUUGUGAGCUCGAUGAGUAGGGCGGGACACGUGGUAUCCUGUCUGAAUAUGGGGGGACCAUCCUCCAAGGCUAAAUACUCCUGACUGACCGAUAGUGAACCAGUACCGUGAGGGAAAGGCGAAAAGAACCCCGGCGAGGGGAGUGAAAAAGAACCUGAAACCGUGUACGUACAAGCAGUGGGAGCACGCUUAGGCGUGUGACUGCGUACCUUUUGUAUAAUGGGUCAGCGACUUAUAUUCUGUAGCAAGGUUAACCGAAUAGGGGAGCCGAAGGGAAACCGAGUCUUAACUGGGCGUUAAGUUGCAGGGUAUAGACCCGAAACCCGGUGAUCUAGCCAUGGGCAGGUUGAAGGUUGGGUAACACUAACUGGAGGACCGAACCGACUAAUGUUGAAAAAUUAGCGGAUGACUUGUGGCUGGGGGUGAAAGGCCAAUCAAACCGGGAGAUAGCUGGUUCUCCCCGAAAGCUAUUUAGGUAGCGCCUCGUGAAUUCAUCUCCGGGGGUAGAGCACUGUUUCGGCAAGGGGGUCAUCCCGACUUACCAACCCGAUGCAAACUGCGAAUACCGGAGAAUGUUAUCACGGGAGACACACGGCGGGUGCUAACGUCCGUCGUGAAGAGGGAAACAACCCAGACCGCCAGCUAAGGUCCCAAAGUCAUGGUUAAGUGGGAAACGAUGUGGGAAGGCCCAGACAGCCAGGAUGUUGGCUUAGAAGCAGCCAUCAUUUAAAGAAAGCGUAAUAGCUCACUGGUCGAGUCGGCCUGCGCGGAAGAUGUAACGGGGCUAAACCAUGCACCGAAGCUGCGGCAGCGACGCUGAUGCGUUGUUGGGUAGGGGAGCGUUCUGUAAGCCUGCGAAGGUGUGCUGUGAGGCAUGCUGGAGGUAUCAGAAGUGCGAAUGCUGACAUAAGUAACGAUAAAGCGGGUGAAAAGCCCGCUCGCCGGAAGACCAAGGGUUCCUGUCCAACGUUAAUCGGGGCAGGGUGAGUCGACCCCUAAGGCGAGGCCGAAAGGCGUAGUCGAUGGGAAACAGGUUAAUAUUCCUGUACUUGGUGUUACUGCGAAGGGGGGACGGAGAAGGCUAUGUUGGCCGGGCGACGGUUGUCCCGGUUUAAGCGUGUAGGCUGGUUUUCCAGGCAAAUCCGGAAAAUCAAGGCUGAGGCGUGAUGACGAGGCACUACGGUGCUGAAGCAACAAAUGCCCUGCUUCCAGGAAAAGCCUCUAAGCAUCAGGUAACAUCAAAUCGUACCCCAAACCGACACAGGUGGUCAGGUAGAGAAUACCAAGGCGCUUGAGAGAACUCGGGUGAAGGAACUAGGCAAAAUGGUGCCGUAACUUCGGGAGAAGGCACGCUGAUAUGUAGGUGAAGUCCCUCGCGGAUGGAGCUGAAAUCAGUCGAAGAUACCAGCUGGCUGCAACUGUUUAUUAAAAACACAGCACUGUGCAAACACGAAAGUGGACGUAUACGGUGUGACGCCUGCCCGGUGCCGGAAGGUUAAUUGAUGGGGUCAGCGCAAGCGAAGCUCUUGAUCGAAGCCCCGGUAAACGGCGGCCGUAACUAUAACGGUCCUAAGGUAGCGAAAUUCCUUGUCGGGUAAGUUCCGACCUGCACGAAUGGCGUAAUGAUGGCCAGGCUGUCUCCACCCGAGACUCAGUGAAAUUGAACUCGCUGUGAAGAUGCAGUGUACCCGCGGCAAGACGGAAAGACCCCGUGAACCUUUACUAUAGCUUGACACUGAACAUUGAGCCUUGAUGUGUAGGAUAGGUGGGAGGCUUUGAAGUGUGGACGCCAGUCUGCAUGGAGCCGACCUUGAAAUACCACCCUUUAAUGUUUGAUGUUCUAACGUUGACCCGUAAUCCGGGUUGCGGACAGUGUCUGGUGGGUAGUUUGACUGGGGCGGUCUCCUCCUAAAGAGUAACGGAGGAGCACGAAGGUUGGCUAAUCCUGGUCGGACAUCAGGAGGUUAGUGCAAUGGCAUAAGCCAGCUUGACUGCGAGCGUGACGGCGCGAGCAGGUGCGAAAGCAGGUCAUAGUGAUCCGGUGGUUCUGAAUGGAAGGGCCAUCGCUCAACGGAUAAAAGGUACUCCGGGGAUAACAGGCUGAUACCGCCCAAGAGUUCAUAUCGACGGCGGUGUUUGGCACCUCGAUGUCGGCUCAUCACAUCCUGGGGCUGAAGUAGGUCCCAAGGGUAUGGCUGUUCGCCAUUUAAAGUGGUACGCGAGCUGGGUUUAGAACGUCGUGAGACAGUUCGGUCCCUAUCUGCCGUGGGCGCUGGAGAACUGAGGGGGGCUGCUCCUAGUACGAGAGGACCGGAGUGGACGCAUCACUGGUGUUCGGGUUGUCAUGCCAAUGGCACUGCCCGGUAGCUAAAUGCGGAAGAGAUAAGUGCUGAAAGCAUCUAAGCACGAAACUUGCCCCGAGAUGAGUUCUCCCUGACUCCUUGAGAGUCCUGAAGGAACGUUGAAGACGACGACGUUGAUAGGCCGGGUGUGUAAGCGCAGCGAUGCGUUGAGCUAACCGGUACUAAUGAACCGUGAGG
rnacentral:rRNA from 1 species